GAUGAACGCUGGCGGCGUGCCUAAUACAUGCAAGUCGAGCGAACAGACGAGGAGCUUGCUCCUCUGACGUUAGCGGCGGACGGGUGAGUAACACGUGGAUAACCUACCUAUAAGACUGGGAUAACUUCGGGAAACCGGAGCUAAUACCGGAUAAUAUAUUGAACCGCAUGGUUCCAUAGUUAAAGACGGUUUUGCUGUCACUUAUAGAUUGAUCCGCGCCGCAUUAGCUAGUUGGUAAGGUAACGGCUUAACAAGGCAACGAUGCGUAGCCGACCUGAGAGGGUGAUCGGCCACACUGGAACUGAGACACGGGCCAGACUCCGAAGGGAGGCAGCAGUAGGGAAUCUUCCGCAAUGGGCGAAAGCCUGACGGAGGAAAGCCGCGUGAGGGAUGAAGGUCUUCGGAUCGGAAAACUCUGUUAUUAGGGAAGAACAAAUGUGUAAGUAACUAGGCACGUCUUGACGGUACCUAAUCAGAAAGCCACGGCUAACUACGUG
rnacentral:rRNA from 1 species